CCCCUAGAUGUUCUGGGCCGCACGCGCGCUACACUGAACAGUUCAACAAGUCUUAACCUUGGCCGAUAGGUCUGGGUAAUCUUUGAACGCUGUUCGUGAUUGGGAUAGACCUUUGCAAUUAUGGGUCUUCAACGAGGAAUUCCUAGUAAACGCAAGUCAUCAGCUUGCAUUGAUUACGUCCCUGCCCUUUGUACACACCGCCCGUCGCUCCUACUGAUUGAGUGAUCCGGUGAAUAUUUUGGACUGCAGCAUAGCUCAGUUCCUGAGUGUUGCAGCAUGAAGUUUAGUGAACCUUAUCACUUAGAGGAAGGAGAAGUCGUAACA
rnacentral:rRNA from 1 species